UGGGGAAUUUUGGACAAUGGGGGAAACCCUGAUCCAGCCAUCCCGCGUGUGCGAUGAAGGCCUUCGGGUUGUAAAGCACUUUUGGCAGGAAAGAAACGUCGCGGGUUAAUACCCCGCGAAACUGACGGUACCUGCAGAAUAAGCACCGGCUAACUACGUGCCAGCAGCCGCGGUAAUACGUAGGGUGCAAGCGUUAAUCGGAAUUACUGGGCGUAAAGCGUGCGCAGGCGGUUCGGAAAGAAAGAUGUGAAAUCCCAGAGCUUAACUUUGGAACUGCAUUUUUAACUACCGGGCUAGAGUGUGUCAGAGGGAGGUGGAAUUCCGCGUGUAGCAGUGAAAUGCGUAGAUAUGCGGAGGAACACCGAUGGCGAAGGCAGCCUCCUGGGAUAACACUGACGCUCAUGCAUGAAAGCGUGGGGAGCAAACAGGAUUAGAUACCCUGGUAGUCCACGCCCUAAACGAUGUCAACUAGCUGUUGGGGCCUUCGGGCCUUGGUAGCGCAGCUAACGCGUGAAGUUGACCGCCUGGGGAGUACGGUCGCAAGAUUAAAACUCAAAUGAAUUGAC
rnacentral:rRNA from 1 species